AGGAGUGGAGGUGAAUUUGCUCCAGAGGCUGCCCCUGGCUUCUGCAAUGGACUCUACCUCAGCUUGGUGCCCCUUGACGCCAGAGUGCACUUUUAGGACAGCACUUUCCACGUGACAUUCAGGCACCUGUUUGUGAGACUCUCUCCUGCAACUACACCAAAGCCCCUCAAGGGCAAAGGAUUUUUGUUUUUCUCAUUUUUGUACUCCCAGCUUUUACCACCGUGCUUUGAAUACAGAAGUGCUCCAGUAAUGAUCGGGGAACAGAAUCAAACCAGGCCAGGGGCCAGGCAGCCACCAAAGACUCUCCUUCCGGCCACUCUUCUUACUGCCCCGUAUGUCAAAAUAGAAGAACUUAAAUCCCCCAACAUGGGAAAGCCAGGAAAAUGGCCCCACAAUCAGCUUCCUUGGGAAGCACAGCCCUGAAGCAGGAACAUGAAGCAAAUUCACCUCCACUCCUCACAGGACUCUAUGGAUCCUUGGUCUAUAAAUACCUUUCGGGGAGAUGUGCAGCCCCACGAGCUCAGCUCUUCCUUCUUCAGGAGGUGGUUUCCCAUGGAGACAGCCAGAUCUGUGGAACAUUUCCACCUUCAUGGCCUCUUUCAGGAAGGAGCUGGUUCUCUUACUCGGCUUCAUUUUCAAAUGCUAAUUUGGUACACACCCUGCCAGAGUAUCCAAGCCAGAGGUGGAUUUGCUUCAGAACAGUUCUUGUUUUCAAUGGCUGGAAACACCCUCUCUGGAGAUGACACCCUCUUAGGUUAAAGUGUGUUCCUCAUUGUGUUGAAGAUGAUCUUUCUCAGUAGGAAUGAACUAUAGACACACAGGUCCACCUUCACGCAGCAGUUGCGACCUUGAAAUUAUAGGCCGAAUCUCUCUGUGCCCAGCUGUCCACCUCCACCCUGGCCUUUAGGUAAGUGACUCUGCAUGGCCUGAAUGUACCUUUCAUUCCUCAGUCUCUCCAGCUACAGUCCCUUUCCCUGGCAUCUGCAGCAGAGAACCCAGGCUUUAAGGAGAGCAGACAUGUCCUCAUGAGGGACAGAGGAGUCCCCUAAGAAAUGAGACCACAGUCCAGUUCUGUCCAAGGGCAGGAUGGGGCAGGAGAAGGAAGCUGUCUGCAGUCCCGUACACAGCACCCUACCCACUUGAGGCCCUCAAGGGAAGCAUCUUUAAAGCAACAUCAGCCUCAAAGAAAGGGUUUGAAUCCACCCGUGAGACUCUCCUCCCUCCUCAGUCCCUACCGAAUUUAUAAGAGAAAGAGAAGCGUAGAAUAAAACUCUGCGUUGGCUGAAAACAGGGGUAGGUGACAUCACCAAGCCUGAGUUCUGGGGAAUUUCUGCAAAUUCUUCAGAUGAGGGCAGGACGGCCUGGACAGCUGCAAAGUGAGCACGUGUGAAGGAAAAGGGAGGAGCUCCCUGAGUGACCGCCAAGAAAAAAUGCACAGAGAAGCUAAACGAAAAGAAAAUAAAAUUAAUUCCACUACUCAGAGAUCAUCACUGCCAACAUCUUGGUCUCAGUAGCCCACAUGGAUUGGUCAGCAUCGUUCCAGAAUCAAGCUCUGCAUAAUCGAACCAAGACCACCUGUUGUCCCAGGAGCUUCCUAACUCCUCUGAUCCGAGCAUCUACCUUGACCAGCACUCAGAUAAGCCACACCAUGGACCAGCUGGUGAUGGGGACAAUGUCAGCUUUGCUUUUAGGGAUUUGUUAUUGUGGGAACCCACGUUUUAUCGGCAGCCCUAGUUGAUCCACCUGCUUUGUGAUGCCAACAUAGGAACUUGUCUGGAGGGUCAGAGAAGAAGCAAUUGGCCCUCAAAGCACAUUGACACCUUUGAGGAAAGUGGAGGCCAAGUCAGCAGGCAGCAGCUUGCAGGGAAAUUAAGCAGAAUUCUGAACUUUUGGAAAGAAGUAAAUUUCUGGCACUUGGCAUGGUUUCAGAAUGAACUCUGGAGGUUGGUGUAGUUCCCUAGAUCCAGGGGGCUUGGGGAAUUCCAUAUGAGUCAUCUGGGCUGACCUCGUAAGUGCCCCAGGGUGAGGGGCAAUCCUCUGUCUCCCCAGGCACUUCUGUUCAAGCAUUCUGCCCAGGAGUUGGCAUGGCCACCCACACCCGGCCACCUCGAGAGAUAGAUGGAAUACCAGCAGCCCACGGGUGUCUCUUGUCAGCAAAAAGCACCCUGGAAAUGGGUGGCUGGAUAAAAGCCCCUCUGUCUGUUGCUGGCUGGGACAGCGUCUACCACAGCCUACACUUGUACUAUGGGAAUGUUUCUCUCUAGCUUAAUGCUCCUGAGAGAAGUGCACAUUUUCUGCUAAAUGUGUGGCUUCAUGGGCUUGCAGUUGAUGGCUUUCUUCGGAGAGGGCUUCAUGCUUCUUGGAGUCUGACUCCUACCCUUCCACGCUCAGCCUAGCUAGGCCUGAGCAGGUGCAUAAAGUGAUCUGACCUAGUGAAUGGGAAGGUGUACACAGACAGAAUCUGUAUAUUUUGCAUAUACUGCAUUCAAGAGAAUACAGCCAUGCAUCAUGACAUUUCAUCAAUCACGGACCACUGACUCAUUACCAGUGAUCUGGUAAGACGAUAACAUGUGUAUACAGUGGCCUAGGCUGUACCAUCUAAGUUUGUGGAAGUACACUUUAUGAUGUUUGCACAACAAUGAAAUCAUCUAACGACAUAUUUUUCAGAGUGUAUCCCUGGUAUGAGCGUAUAUUAAGGUCAAUUUCAUCUGUUUCUUCUUAUCUUUUAAUGUGGCUACUUAAAGGUUUACAACUACAUGCAUAGCUUGUGUUCUCUUUGUAUUGGGCAACGCUUUUUCAGUGGACACCGAAGUUAUGAAGCACUGGGCCGGGAGUCCCUGCAUCCGAGUUCCAGCAUCAUCUGUGACACUAACAGACCUGGGCCGGGAGUCCCUGCAUCCGAGUUCCAGCAUCAUCUGUGACACUAACAGACCUGGAAGUCUUUGAGUAAAUCUCUUCUACGGGCCUCAGUUUCCUCAUCUGUAGAACAGGAAAGUUGAACUACGUAAUAUCCAACCUACCAGCAACUUUCAACUUUUCUGCUACCCAGGUAAUGGGUAAGUUAGAAAGAAAUGACAGUUUGCACAGCCAGUCCCUAUUCCUGCAGAAAGACAGGGCGCAUACUCACACUGUCUGAUAAAAGGUUAAACAGCAUGGCACUGGUAAAUGUAGGAGCAGGGAGGGCACUCUUUUAUUUAUUCAUUAGCCACCGCCCACUGAAUUCCCUAAAGACUACUCUCUCUUUGGAAACUGAACUCCUGAGUCCCCUUACAUACCCAUAACCAGGAGGUGCCAUGAGCCGAGAGGCUGGGCCUAAGAGAGCCUCCCUCCCCACAGCCAGCUCACAAAUGCAGGGCCCUGGGUCUCAGAAAUCAAUGUCAGGGCAAGGGAGGCAAGGCAUUAACUGUCUCUUCCAGGAACACUUUCACAGAAAGUCUUUUAAGAGCUGGAGAGGAGCGAGGGCAUCUGGGCUCUCGCAUUGUUUAUGCAAACGCUGAAAUUAAUAUUUCAGAUGGGCAAAUAGAAGAACCCAAGUCACUCACUGGCCUCUCAUUUCCAUCACAGAAGCCUGGAACUCUGUUUCUCCUUCCUCAAUCCCAAUCUUGUUUCUGGAGGCUUUGUCGGGAUUCCCUUCCCAUCCUGCCACUUCCUUGCUUUGAGAACCUCAGAUGGUCUCUCUUUCCCUGGGAAGAGAAUCUAGUCUGGUGUUCCAGUUUCCCCGCUGCCAUCUCACCCUGAUUUUCCUGCCCAGGCCUCCCUCCCCAGCCCCACCUCCCCUAGGUGACUUGCCUUUCCUGGACCUUGCCCAGCCCAACCACAAGCCCUGGCUCAUGGGGGCCCCUCUGCUGGACAGGACCUUUCCUCCACCAGCAGCCCUGCAGUGUCCUCUGCCUUCGGGUUCCCAGUUUAGGUGACACAGGUUUCCUCCACAAAUAGCUGCCCUUACUGUGCCUCACUCUCUGAUCCUGGCCAUCCCUGCUUUACUUUAUUAAUCCUUCCAACCACCAUGCCAGGUGGGGACUCUCACAAGGGACAUGGCAGAUCGGGGAGGUUGGAACCCAGCCAGUCGACUCUGGAGCCCACACAAGUAACCCCUGUGCUGACUCGCUUCUCCUGGGGAUUUCUCUCUUUCCUUGGGGUUCCUGCGGCACAUUUUCUGUCUCUCUUAGCGUGCUUGUGUUAGUUUGCCAGAGCUGCCAUCCAAAAUACUGUAGACAGGGUGGCUUAAACAAUAGGAAUUUAUUUUCUCACAGUGCUGAACGCUAGAAGUCCAAGAGUGAGGUGUCAGCAGGUUUUUGAACCAUUUUCUGGUUUUCAAACCAUUGGCUUGCAGAUGACAUCUUCUCUCCAUGUCCCCACAUGCUGUGCCCUGUGUGUGUGUCUGUGUCCUAGUCUCCUCUUCCUAUAGGGACACCUGUCAUAUUGAAUCAGGACCCAUCCACAAGACCUCAUUUUAAAUUAAUUUCCAUUUAAAGACCCUGUCUUCAAAUCCAGUCCCAUUCUGAGGUAUGGGCAGUUAGGGCUUCGACAUGAGAAUUUGGAGCAGGUGACGCAAUUCAGCCCGUAACAGUACCAAUCACAGUCGACUUUAAACGGCAGUAAGUCAGAUGAGUGCCCGUUCCCCAUCUGGCUGAUAGAGACUGCAUCUGAGUCAGCCCCGUGUUCUCUGGGUUUAAGUUCAGCUCAGCACUAUGAAGAGGCCCCUCCCGUUUCCAAGAGACUGGAUCUUACAGGCCAAGAUAACCAGGUGAUUAUCUUGGUAUGGUGGGAGGAUGGGUCAUGUCUCUUUUCUUGCCUGUCUCUGUGUGAUUGAACAGAGAAAUGUAGCAGAGGAGGUUCAGGCUGACACAGCAUUCACUGCUCGGCUUUCAGCUAGAAGAGACAUCUCAGGAAGCCUGGGGAUCCGGGAGGCUUUGAGCAUAGAUGGGCCUGAGAAUAGGGUGGCGGGGGGCUGAGGUCCAGGUGGAGGUGUGCACCCAUGACUCAGGAGUGAAGAGGUCGUGGGGGGUUUGCAGGCUGCUGUGGUGCCUGAGAUGUGUGUGUGUCAGUACAGGACAGUGAGUGGGCCAGAGAGUAACAACUGAAGUCAUCAAGUACAGCUGGGGCUGGGUUUGGGAUGCUACGGGAGUCAGACGGAGGAGCUGGGUUUUCUUGGCUGUUCAUUGUACACAAAGUCCAACUAUAGAGACAGUUUGAGGAGGAGGGCAGGCACUGGAAGUGAGCAGUGCUGGGAAAGGGCUGGUGAGUUCAGGGUGUAGCUGGCCCCUUCCUCAAGUUGGUGGAGUGCAGUUUCCUGGAAGAGGAAUCUUCAGUUCUCACUGUUGCCUUUUUAUAAGUGAAAAAGAUAGUGUGAAUCCUGCAGAACCGCUCCUGGGGUUCCCUGUCUUGGUAAAUGUCACCACACACAGAUGCCCAAACCAGAAACAUGACCACCAUCCAGCCUCCUCCCUAAAGUUUAUCCCCCUUAGUGAACCCAUCACCAAAUCCCAUCACCAAAUUCUCCCCCGAAGAUGUCAGAGUCCAGCUCCAUUGUACUCCCAUGUGCAAGCCACUGUCCUCUUACCCUGGGACCACUGCUGGGGUCUCGUCUUCCUGCCACAACCCAGACCCCUCUCCCUGUAAUUCGUCUUGCACUCAGCUAUCAGAGACAUUUUCCAAAGUUUAAAUUGUGUCCUCUUACAGGACGGUCUGGUGGCUCUCUAGUGUUCUCUGGGCUAGGUCCAAACUCUUUGUUGACUUCUAAGCCUCUGCAGGCCCCAGCCCCUCAUCUCCCAUCAUUCCACCACAACCAUUCAGUGGGUCACACGGAACAAUGCUGGGGUUCUAGGUUCAGCUCUGGGCUCUUCCCACCUCCUCUGCUUGGCUAAGUCUCAUUAUUCACAUCAGAUACCACCUUUCAUGGGAGUCAGCCUUGAUCCCUAGACUGGGAUCACAUGCGAGGGGCCUUCAAAAAGUUUACGGAAGGUGGAUAUGAUGUAAAAACUAUGUAUGAAUUCAGAAUGUGUUUGGCACCAAAAGAAACUUGUGCUAACUUGUUAUGAUGUGCAUGAACAGGAUCUAGUUUGAGGCACUAAGAAGAAUAAGGCAUCGGUCUGAAAGGAGCCUCCACCAGCGCCACGUGAAUUCUAUUAAAAUUGAAGCAAAAACGAAAAAACAAAAAACCAUCAAAUGUAUGGCAAUGGUUGGGUGGAAGAAUGAUUAAAUCAUUGAUUUCUUAAUGAAAAGUUUAUGGGAACAAUACCCCAAAGCAAUCAGCGGUUUACAAAUGGAUAAAUUGUUUGAAGAAGGGAUGAGAUGAUACUGAAGACGAAGCCCACAGUGGCAGACGAUCCGCAUCAGUUUUCAAAGAAAAAACUAAUAUUUUUUGUGUCCUAAUUGAAGAUGACUGAUGAUUAGCAGCAGAAAUGAUAGCCAACACCAUAGAUAUUGCAAAGGUUCAGCUUAUACAAUUAUCUCAAAAAUUAAAGUGGAGCAAAUUUCCAUUUGAUGGGUGCCAAAAUUGUUGUGCCCAGAUCAGCUGAAAACCUUAAGGGGAGAGCUUUCAAUGGAAGUUUUAAACAAGUGGAAUCAAGAUCCUGAAGUAUUUCUUCAAAUAAUUGUAACAGCAGAUGAAACACAGCUUUACUAGCAUGAUCCUGAAGACAAGUUACAAUCGAAGCAGGGUUACCGAGAGGUGAAAGGGGGCCGGUCAAGGGCAAAGGUCAUGGCAACAAUAGUUUUUGGAUGCUGAAGGCAUUCUGCUUGUUGACUUUCUGGAGAGUCAAAGAACAAUAACAUCUGCUUACUAUAAGAGUGUUUUGAGAAAGCCAAAGCUUUAGCAGGAAAUAUGCCUGGGAAAGCUUCACCGGAGGGUCCUUUUUACUGUGACAAUGCUCCUGCUCAUUCCUCUCACCAAACAGGGAAAUCAUGUGAGGGUUUCGAUGGGAAAUCAUUAGGCAUCUACCUUACAGUCCUAAUUUGGCUCCUUCUGUCCUUUUUUUUUUUUUUCGUUUCCUAAUUUAAAAAAGUUUGUAAAGGGCACCCAUUUUUCUUCAGUUAAUCAUGUAAAAAGACUGCAUUGACAUGGUUAAAUUCCCAAGACCCUCAUUUUUUUAAGGAUGGACUUAAUGGUUGGUAUCAUUGCUUACAAAAGUGUGUUCGACUUGAUGGAGGUUAUGUUGAAAAACAAAGAUUACGUUUUGAAUGUUUAUCUUUUUGUUCCAUUUUUUCCAGGAAGUGUUUGAAGUCUCCCUAUACAUCUCUUUAGCUUGCUGCCGUAACACUUGCCACACAGAGGGUACCUAUUUACCUGGUUGCCUCUUCUAUAGAUUCUAAUCUCCUAUAGUACAGGGCCAAGUCUACUUUCUUUUCUUGAACUCCAGCAUUUAACCUCAGGGUUAACAUAGAGAAGGGACUAAAUGCAUACUUAAGAAAUGAGCAAAUUGGUCAUCCACUCCUGUAUGAGACCACAGUCACCCUGUUUCUGCUUUCUUAGGUCCGAACUUUA